UACGUAGGGUGCGAGCGUUAAUCGGAAUUACUGGGCGUAAAGCGUGCGCAGGCGGUUUUGUAAGACAGGGGUGAAAUCCCCGGGCUUAACCUGGGAACUGCGCUUGUGACUGCAAGACUCGAGUACGGCAGAGGGGGGUAGAAUUCCACGUGUAGCAGUGAAAUGCGUAGAUAUGUGGAGGAACACCGAUGGCGAAGGCAGCCCCCUGGGAUGUGACUGACGCUCAUGUACGAAA
rnacentral:rRNA from 1 species